CCUCAUUGCUGGUUGGAGGUGGAGCAGCUCCUGCCUCUGAGUGCUGUUUGCAGCCAGUGACCUGCAAAGGAGACCUGCAGGAUUUGGGUUGUGGGGUGGCACCGGGUCUUAUCCAAGGAGCUGGGCUGUUGCACUACAAAUGCCAUUAGCAACCUCCCAACCUGCAGAAGGUCACAGCAGUUGCUUGUGGCAGCCUGGGGAAUUGAGCCACGAUAUCCCACAUCCCAAAUGAGCAUGCCAGCCUCCAGCCCGUGCUUCCUCCCCACUGGCCACCAGCUACUUCAGAUGACAACGCACAGUCAGGACAAGGUGUGAACUGACGUGGUAUUGAUUUCUUUCUAGACAAGGAAGAUGAAAAUGGAUAGCACGGUAUGAGCAUGAAGGAUGUGGAGAUGGCAGCAGGUCCUGGGCAGAAAGUCAAAGCUGUGUUUGAGGAGCCUUCCUGGAGGUUUUCAUUAGUAACAAGGCCAGGGAAUCCACUGCAAAUGUAAAAAUAAUCGAUUUGAGAGCCCUGAAAGGAUGGAGAGUGACUCGCUGUGGAAAUAUUAAGGGAGAAAGUGGGAGUGGGAGGUUCCCAUGGCUCAGUGUUGCCUAGCUGUGAGCUUUGAAAGCUGCCUGAAGGCCAAGGAGAUGCUGAGCAGGAGGUAAGGUUGCCUCCGAGCGGCACUGAAAGGCAGUGCUGAGCACUGAUCUUCCACUGCUGGGUAUGCCUGAGCUUAGGAGUGUGUCAGGGUCCUUCUAGGGCUAAAGAGAAAGGGAAUAGGUGGACAGAGAGCUCUUGUCAAGCAGAUCUGCUCCUUGUUCACUUCUUGGAGAUGAAGGUCCAGGGUGAU